rnacentral:rRNA from 1 species
AUGGAGCCGCCGAACUUUCUGCGACGAAUCGCCAUGGACUUCCGGAAGCCUCCUCCUCCUUCCAUCGUCACAUCCCGACGUCUUAGCAGUGCUGAUGACGGCCAAGGCACAAGGUACGGCGAAGGGUGCGGCCGAGGGAGCAUCUCAGCGGCGGCACCUUCAAAUCUAGCAACAAACGCGGCACCACAGAGCAAUCGUGUGACAAAAACAACUUACGGCUACGAGGAAGACAUGGCUAUCAAGUACACAAGAGCCGUGUACAGCGAGAUGAGGACUAGGAUGAGAAAAGCCACACUAUUUCGUGCAAAGCCUAUAACAGAGCCCACUAAGUACCUUGUGUACUACCACAACAAGGCUGGCCAUGAUGAUGAAGAAAGAUUUGCCUGGUCAAAGCAUGAAUUCCAGGUUGUAGCUGACCUAGAGAAUGAAAUAUAUGAGUGUGAAUGCAAGCUUUGGACACACACACGUGAGUGA